UAGGAGUACAUUAUGGCAGAAUCAGUCACCCGGGCAAACCAACCCUCCUCCAAGAAGAAUUGUGCUAUGCCCCCCGAUCCCUAUAGAGCGAAAGAGCUGCCUGGUGAUCCCUAGAUCAGUCACCCGGGCAAACCAACCCUCCUCCAAGAAGAAUUGUGCUAUGCCCCCCGAUCCCUAUAGAGCGAAAGACUUGCGUUAAUAGCUUGUGUAACUUCCUUGCAUGGACAGCUACCACCUCUUCUCUUUACUUUCCUUCGCUU
rnacentral:lncRNA from 1 species